AUGCUGGGGAUCCUCUGCACUCUCAUCACUGCUCUAACAUAUGUUGAUGCAGUAAAAGUUCUGACCCAGACGCCUGCUGUCCACUCAGUUUCUACAGGACAAGAAGUUGUUCUCAAAUGCAACAUUCAAAGAGAUGAUGGAUAUUAUGUCAGCUGGUAUAAACAGGUUCCUGGUAAACCUCCUCAGUAUGUUCUGAAAUUUUACCAUUCUCACAGUUCACCCAGCUUUGGAACAGGAUUCUCCUCAGACCGAUUCAACUCUAAAACCUCAUCAAACAUAGAUUACCAGUUCAUCAUUGAGAGAACAGAGACAGGAGAUUCUGCAGUUUAUUUCUGUCAGACAUGGGACAACUCUGCUUCCACUGUGGUAUUCGGACAAGGAACCAAGCUGAUUGUGACAAGCUCCAGUCUCUCUCCUCCUGUCCUGACUGUCUUCCCUCCGUCCAGUGCUGAGCUCCAGUCCAACCAAGCCACUCUGGUCUGUCUGUCCAGUCAGUCUGUGCCUUUUGCAGAUGUGACCUGGUUGUCUGCUGGGAGUCCAGUGAGCAGUGGGAUCUCUACCAGCACCGCUGUUCAGCAACCAGACCAGACUUUCCAAAUCAGCAGCUAUCUGUCCAUCCAGACGUCAGACUGGAACAUGGAUAAGGUUUACACAUGUAAAGUGUCUUUGGGCUCCCAGACUUCAGAGACAAACAUCAACAAAUCAAACAGUAAACUCACUUUCCAAGUUACAAGGCCAUUCUCAGCACACACUGACAACAUGCUGGGGACCCUCUGCACUCUCAUCACUGCUCUAACAUGUGUGAGUGGUGUGACGGUGGUGACACAGAAGCCUCCUGUUGUGACAGUGAGGAAAGGAGAGACAGCCACCAUGGACUGUAACCUGGGGACUGUUACUGGCAGUCGAGCUGUCUGGUAUAAACAGAUUCCAGGAGGAGUUCCUCAGUUUGUAUUAUAUUUCUAUCACAGCCAUAGCGUUCCAACAUAUGGCUCUGGAUUCUCCUCUCCCAAAUUCACAUCUAAUCAUCAGUCAACAUCAGAUUAUCGACUGAUCAUCAACAAUGUGGAGGAGGGAGACUCAGCAGUCUAUUUCUGUCAAACAUAUGACAGCUCUGUGAGUGAGUUGGUUGUGGUAUUCGGACAAGGAACCAAGCUGAUUGUGACAGGCUCCAGUCUCUCUCCUCCUGUCCUGACAGUCUUCCCUCCGUCCAGUGCUGAGCUCCAGUCCAACCAAGCCACUCUGGUCUGUCUGUCCAGUCAGUCUGUGCCUUUUGCAGAUGUGACCUGGUUGUCUGCUGGGAGUCCAGUGAGCAGUGGGAUCUCUACCAGCACCGCUGUUCAGCAACCAGACCAGACUUUCCAAAUCAGCAGCUAUCUGUCCAUCCAGACGUCAGACUGGAACAUGGAUAAGGUUUACACAUGUAAAGUGUCUUUGGGCUCCCAGACUUCAGAGACAAACAUCAACAAGUCAAAGUGUCCCUGA